AUUGAACGCUGGCAGCAGGCCUAACACAUGCAAGUAGAGCGGAGCGGCGGACGGGUGAGUAAUGCCUCGGAAUCUGCCUGGUAGUUGGGGAUAACGUCCGGAAACGGGCGCUAAUACCGCAUCCUAUCAGAUGAGCCUAGGUCGGAUUAGCUCGUUGGUGGGGGAAAGGCCUACCAAGGCGACGAUCCGUAAAUGGUCUGAGAGUAUGAGCAGUCACACUUAAACUGAGACAAGGGCCAGACUCCUACGUGAUGCAGCAGGGUGGAAGAUUGGACAAUGUGCGAAAGCCUGAUCCAGCCAUGCUGCGGGUGGGAAGAAUGUUUUCGGAUUGUAAAGCACUUUAAGUUGGGAGGCGUUACCAACAGAAUAAGCACCGGCUAACUGCGUGCCAGCAGCCGCGGUAAGUC
rnacentral:rRNA from 1 species